GAAAACCCAAUAGUCUUGGCCUCAAAGCUCCUUAAGCUGUUAAUAACUUCAGCAAAGUCUCACGAUACAAAAUCAAUAUACAAAAAUCACAAGCAUGCUUGUAACCAGAAAUAC